UAUACAUCUGAUCUCAAUAUAUUCUAAUUUCCCCAAUUUUGAAUAUAUUAUUAAUAGUCUGGACUACGUUUUUUUAUUUUUAAAUGCGUUGUUUAUAUUAUGUGCAGGCUGAAAUUAGUUAUUGCAAACGCCCACUUUCUAAAGUAGGCGUUUCCUAACAUAAACAGACUAAAUCGUGUUAAUAUUGACCAAUAAGAUCGCGCUAUGUUGUACAUGGCUCUUCCCACCCUGCUUCACAGGCACUUCUGUGCUAUCUCAGUGUAAUUAUAUGAAUCUUUGGCGCGAGUGCUGGACACAACCUCCAUUUUAGGUAAUCCCAUUUGCUGUACAAGGUUGGAUUUUGAUAAUCUGUUGAUGUCUGUUUUCUGUUGUCUGAAUUAUGUUGGCAUAGCUACUGUAAAUUAAAUAUAUUUGAUAACAUUGGACAUUCGGCAGUUUUUAAUCUACUAUAUGUUUUAGUGACCAACGAUUUGCUGUGGUUGUCUUUUCAUAUACAGAACAUGUCAAGGCCACAGCCAUCAACAUUUUUAAUGCAGGAAUGGAAAGAUUUGGAGGCGGCAUCCGAUGAGGAUUUGGAAGUGUCCUCGUAUGACCUCAUGACUGAUCCUCAGUUCCCCCCAUCAAAGGACCCCUACACCCCACCAGACAGUGAGACACCCUGCCCUUCCUCCACCCUGACCACGGGGCCUGGAUCCUCCCCUUUCACACAGAAGAAGGACUUCACUGCUGCCGUUUCCUCCAAGAGGUCUCGGGCCUCUAGUUCCACAGAGUCGAGAGGCAACACACCCAUUGGUUCCCAGAGAGACCUCAGUGAUGUGGAUUCUGACCAGAUGGACUUUACUUUUGCUGCCACGGUCGCCAAGAGAUCCAGAGACACUUGUCUGUCUGAGAACCGAGCCAACCACAGCCAAAUGAGCAUGACGUCAGAUGAGGAUUUUGACGUGUUGUCAGAUGAUCAAAUGAAUUAUCCCCACUUCAUCCCAGCAGAGGAAAACUCUGAUUCAACAGACAGUGAGACACCCUGCACGCCCUCUACCCCGUCCCCAAAGUCUAAACCCGGCCCUGUCAAACAGAAGAAAAGCAUGUCUACAUUAACAAUCAAAACCUGCAGUAAGACCAAGGAUGGGAAAAGGCUCUAUGACAAAAAGCAUUUCUGUAUAUACUGCAUGAAACCCAAUUCUAAAAUAUCCAGGCACUUAGAAAGAAAGCAUGGAGAUGAGGAGGACGUAGCCCGGGCUUGUAGCUUCCCGAAAGGCUCUAAGAAAAGGUCAGCCUUACUUGAAGAGCUGAGAAACAAAGGUGACUAUCAACACAACAUCUUAGUGCUUGAAGAGGGGAAGGGAGAGAUCGUUACAUGGAGACAACCCCCAGGAAGUGCUUCCAUUGAGGACUACCUGCCCUGUUCUCACUGUCUGGCUUUUUUUGUGAAGAGCAUGUUAUGGAGGCACGAGUUGUCAUGUAGGCCGAAAAAGGAAGGAGAAAAGGGGUCAAAGGUUAUUGAAACAUCAGUCCCCAGGAAGAGGGUUCAAUCUCUAGCUUCCCAUCUGAUCCCAAUCUGUAAAAGUACUUUGCAAGAAUCCCUGAAGAUUGUAGACAAAUCACAACAAGAAUCAGCAACAUUUCUGCAUUCAGACUUCAGUUUUGAUGCCACGGUCGCUACCAAGAAGUCCCGGCUCUCCAGUUCGACCAAGACCAGGGCCACCCGUCCCCGCUCCCAGAGAGUCCCUAAUUACACGUUUUCUGACCAAAUGAGCUUGACGUCAGAUGAGGAUUUUGACGUGUUGUCAGAUGAUCAAAUGAAUUAUCCCCACUUCAUCCCAGCAGAGGAAAACUCUGAUUCAACAGACAGUGAGACACCCUGCACGCCCUCUACCCCGUCCCCAAAGUCUAAACCCGGCCCUGUCAAACAGAAGAAAAGCAUGUCUACAUUAACAAUCAAAACCUGCAGUAAGACCAAGGAUGGGAAAAGGCUCUAUGACAAAAAGCAUUUCUGUAUAUACUGCAUGAAACCCAACUCUAAAAUAUCCCGGCACUUAGAAAGAAAGCAUGGAGAUGAGGAGGACGUAGCCCGGGCUUGUAGCUUCCCAAAAGGCUCUAAGAAAAGGUCAGCCUUGCUUGAAGAGCUGAGAAACAAAGGUGACUAUCAACACAACAUCUUAGUACUUGAAGAGGGGAAGGGAGAGAUCGUUAUAUCACGGAAAUCCCCAGGAAGUGCUUCCAUUGAGGACUACCUGCCCUGUUCUCACUGUCUGGGUUUUUUUGUAAAGAGCGAGUUAAGAAGACACGAGUCAUUAUGUCAGCCAAAAAAUGAAGAAAAAAGGUCUCGUAACAACGAAGAAACAGAGCCUAGGAAGAGAGUUCAGUCACUAGUCUCCCAUCUGAUUUCAGUUUCUAAAAGUGUUUCAGAAGGAUCCCAGAAGAUUGUAAAGAAACCACAACAAGAAUCCGCUGCAUGUCUUCAUUCAGACUUCACUUUUGAUGCCACAGUUGCUACCAAGAAGUCCCGGCUCUCCAGUUCGACCAAGACCAGGGCCACCCGUCCCCGCUCCCAGAGAGUCCCUAAUUACACGUUUUCUGACCAAAUGAGCUUGACGUCAGAUGAGGAUUUUGACGUGUUGUCAGAUGAUCAAAUGAAUUAUCCCCACUUCAUCCCAGCAGAGGAAAAUUCUGAUUCAACAGACAGUGAGACACCCUGCACGCCCUCUACCCUGUCCCCAAAGUCUAAAAUUGACCCUAUUGAACAGGAAAAAAGCAUGUCUACAUUAACAAUCAAAACCUGCAGUAAGACCAAGGAUGGGAAAAGGCUCUAUGACAAAAAGCAUUUCUGUAUAUACUGCAUGAAACCCAAUUCUAAAAUAUCCAGGCACUUAGAAAGAAAGCAUGGAGAUGAGGAGGACGUAGCCCGGGCUUGUAGCUUCCCGAAAGGCUCUAAGAAAAGGUCAGCCUUGCUUGAAGAGCUGAGAAAAAAAGGUGACUAUCAACACAACAUCUUAGUGCUUGAAGAGGGUAAGGGAGAGAUCGUUACAUGGAGACAACCCCCAGGAAGUGCUUCCAUUGAGGACUACCUGCCCUGUUCUCACUGUCUUGGUUUUUUUGUAAAAAGCAAGUUAUGGAGACACGAGUCAUCAUGUAGGCCAAAAAAGGAAGGAGAAAAGGGGUCAAGGAAGAGGGUCCAAUCUAUAGCAUCCCAUCUGAUCCCAAUCUCUAAAAGUGCUUCGGAAGGCUGCCAAAAGAUCAUCCACAAAAUGCAACAAGAUUCAGUGGCUUUUCACAUACGAAACGACCUGUUAAUUUGUCAGUUAGGGGACUGUUUGUAUGCAGAGCGCGGUCAUGAGUUGUCCCAGCAUGGCUACAUCUGCAAAAGACUGCGGGAAGUGGGUAGACUCAUGCUGGUGCUCAAAGAGCUUGAUAACAGUGUAAAGCACCUACAGGACGUCUGUAAACCGAGCCGGUUCGAACUGGUUCUUGAAGCAGCAAAGAAGGUCAGCAGGUUCAAUCCGGAUGUAAUUGACUACACAAAAACAAGUUUGGUUAUUAGGAUAGGACACUCACUUACCAAAGCAGCAGAGUGUUUAGCUAGCAGAAGUGUAAUAAAUGGGGACGUAGAGACUCAUGCAGAGGCAAACAAAUUUGUGAAACUAAUGACCUCUUCGUGGAGAGGGUACGUAACUUCUAAUGCACACAGGUCAAUCAAACAGAAAAAUUGUAACAAAGAAGAUGCCGUUCCAUUGACGGAAAUCGUGAAGGUCCUCCAAUCAUGCUAA
ensembl:lncRNA